rnacentral:rRNA from 1 species
GUGCCUAAUACAUGCAAGUCGAGCGCGGGAAGCGAGUGGAUCCCUUCGGGGUGAAGCUCGUGGAACGAGCGGCGGACGGGUGAGUAACACGUGGGCAACCUGCCUGUAAGAUCGGAAUAACCCCGGGAAACCGGGGCUAAUGCCGGGUAAUACUUUCUUUCGCAUGAAGGAAAGUUGAAAGAUGGCUUCUUGCUAUCACUUACAGAUGGGCCCGCGGCGCAUUAGCUAGUUGGUGAGGUAACGGCUCACCAAGGCGACGAUGCGUAGCCGACCUGAGAGGGUGAUCGGCCACACUGGGACUGAGACACGGCCCAGACUCCUACGGGAGGCAGCAGUAGGGAAUCUUCCGCAAUGGACGAAAGUCUGACGGAGCAACGCCGCGUGAACGAUGAAGCGUCUUGCGGAUCGUAAAGUUCUGUUGUUAGGGAAGAACAAGUACCGUGCGAAUAGAGCGGUACCUUGACGGUACCUAACGAGGAAGCCCCGGCUAACUACGUGCCAGCAGCCGCGGUAAUACGUANGGGGCAAGCGUUGUCCGGAAUAUUGGGCGUAAAGCGCGCGCAAGCGGUUCCUUAAGUCUGAUGUGAAAGCCCACGGCUCAACCGUGGAGGGUCAUUGGAAACUGGGGAACUUGAGGACAGAAGAGGAGAGUGGAAUUCCACGUGUAGCGGUGAAAUGCGUAGAUAUGUGGAGGAACACCAGUGGCGAAGGCGACUCUCUGGUCUGUUUCUGACGCUGAGGUGCGAAAGCGUGGGUAGCAAACAGGAUUAGAUACCCUGGUAGUCCACGCCGUAAACGGUGAGUGCUAGGUGUUAGGGGGCUUCCACCCCUUAGUGCUGAAGUUAGCGCAUUAAGCACUCCGCCUGGGGAGUACGGCCGCAAGGCUGAAACUCAAAGGAAUUGACGGGGGGCCCGCACAAAGCGGUGGANGAUGUGGGUUUAAUUCGAAGCCAACGCGAAAGAACCUUACCCAGGUUCUUGACAUNCUUUGGACAACCCCUAGAGAUAAGGCUUUCCCCUUCGGGGGACAAAGUGACAGGUGGUUGCAUUGGUUGUUCNUCNGCCUCCUUGUUUUGAAGAUGUUUGGGGUUAAGGUUCCCGCAACCAAGCCGCAACCCCCUUAAUUCUUAGUUUGCCCAGCCUUUCAGGUUGGGCCCCCUCUAAGGUUGACCUGCCGGGUGACAACCCCGAAAGGAAGGCGGGGGAAUGACGUNAAUUUUUUUUGCCCCCUUUUUAGNCNGGGGCCUACCCCUU